UACGUAGGGGGCAAGCGUUGUCCGGAUUUAUUGGGCGUAAAGAGCGUGUAGGCGGCCAUGCAGGUCAGCUGUGAAAACUCGAGGCUCAACCUCGAGACGUCGGUUGAAACCGCAUGGCUAGAGUCCGGAAGAGGAGAGUGGAAUUCCCGGUGUAGCGGUGAAAUGCGCAGAUAUCGGGAGGAACACCUGUGGCGAAAGCGGCGCACUGGACCAUAACUGACGCUGAGGCGCGAAAGCUAGGGGAGCAAACAGG
rnacentral:rRNA from 1 species